rnacentral:rRNA from 1 species
UUAUAUUGGGGGAAGGUGGGGAUGACGUCAAAUCAUCAUGCCCCUUAUGUCUUGGGCUCCACACGUGUUACAAUGGCUUAAACAAAGGGAAGCAAAGCCGUGAGGGGGAGCAAAUCUCAAAAAAAACGUCUCAGUUCGGAUUGUAGUCUGCAACUCGCCUACACGAAGUUGGAAUUGCUAGUAAUCGCGGAUCAGCAUGCCGCGGUGAAUACGUUCCCGGGCCUUGUACACACCGCCCGUCACACCAUGGGAGUGGGGAGUACCCGAAGUCGGUGAUCUAACCGCAAGGAGGAAGCUGCCGAAGCAAAACGAGACUGGGUAGCUCUACGUCCCUUGG